UACGUAGGUGGCAAGCGUUGUCCGGAUUUAUUGGGUUUAAAGGGUGCGUAGGCGGUCUUAUAAGUCAGUGCUGAAAUAUCCCGGCUUAACCGGGAGGGUGGCAUUGAUACUGUAGGACUUGAGUAGAGUUGAGGUUGGCGGAAUUGACGGUGUAGCGGUGAAAUGCUUAGAUAUCGUCAAGAACACCGAUAGUGAAAGACAGCUCACUAAGCUUAUAUUGACGCUGAGGCACGAAAGUGUGGGGGAUCAAAC
rnacentral:rRNA from 1 species